ACGUAGGGUGCGAGCGUUAAUCGGAAUUACUGGGCGUAAAGCGUGCGCAGGCGGAUUGUUAAGCAAGAUGUGAAAUCCCCGGGCUUAACCUGGGAAUGGCAUUUUGAACUGGCAGUCUAGAGUGUGUCAGAGGGGGGUGGAAUUCCACGUGUAGCAGUGAAAUGCGUAGAUAUGUGGAGGAACACCAAUGGCGAAGGCAGCCCCCUGGGAUAACACUGACGCUCAUGUACGAAAGCGUGGGUAGCAAACAGGAUUAGAUACCCUGGUAGUCCACGCCCUAAACGAUGUCAACUGGUUGUUGGGGGAGUGAAAUCCCUUAGUAACGAAGCUAACGCGUGAAGUUGACCGCCUGGGGAGUACGGUCGCAAGAUUA
rnacentral:rRNA from 1 species